rnacentral:rRNA from 1 species
AGAGAGAAGUUGGCAGACAUAGAGGCCACAAUAGCCUACUUCGAUGCGAAAGCAAAGGAAGAUCCAGAUUUCUUCUACAGGAUAAGGUUGGACGAUGAGGACCGUGUCAGGAACAUGUAUUGGGUGGAUGGUGCUGCAAGGAGAGCCUACAAACAUUUCCGAGAUUGCAUUUCAUUCGACGCGACGUACCUCACCAAUAUGUACAAGAUGCCAUGCGCUCCGUUCAUAGGAAUAAAUAAC